rnacentral:piRNA from 1 species
UAAGCCUGCCUGCUUUUUUCUAGGUUGUGU